rnacentral:rRNA from 1 species
UCGGUGCCGCAGCUAACGCAUUAAGUACUCCGCCUGGGAAGUACGCUCGCAAGAGUGAAACUAAAAGGAAGGGACGGGGACCCGCCAAAGGAGGGGAGCAUGUGGUUCAAUUCGAAGCAACGCGAAGAACCUUACCGAAGCUGGACAUCCCAAUGACAUCGCCUUAAUCGGGGAGUUCCCUUAGGGGACACUGGUGACAGGUGGUGCAUGGUGGUCGUCAGCUCGUGUCGUGAGAUGUUGGGUUAAGUCCCGCAACGAGCGCAACCCUUGUCUUUAGUUGCCAUCAUUAAGUUGGGCAC